rnacentral:rRNA from 1 species
AUUGAACGCUGGCGGAAUGCUUUACACAUGCAGGUCGAACGGCAGCACGGACUUCGGUCUGGUGGCGAGUGGCGAACGGGUGAGUAACAUAUCGGAACGUAUCCAAUAAUGGGGGAUAACUAAUCGAAAGGUUGGCUAAUACCGCAUACGCCCUACGGGGGAAAGCAGGGGAUCUUCGGACCUUGCGUUAAUGGAGCGGCUGAUAUCUGAUUAGCUAGUUGGUGAGUUAAAGGCUCACAAAGGCGACGAUCAGUAGCUGGUCUGAGAGGACGACCAGAGACACUGGAACUGAGACACUGUCCAGACUCCUACGGGAGGCAGCAGUGGGGAAUUUUGGACAAUGGGCGCAAGGCUGAUCCAGCCAUUCCGCGUGAGUGAAGAAGGCCUUCGGGUUGUAAAGCUCUUUCGCAAGGGAAGAAAACUUACUUUCUAAUAAAGAGUGAGGUUGACGGUACCUUGAUAAGAAGCACCGGCUAACUACGUGCCAGCCGCCGCAGUAA